rnacentral:tRNA from 1 species
GUGGCUGUAGCUCAACGGUUAGAGCGUCCGGCUGUGGCCCGGAAGGCUGCGGGUUCAAGUCCCGUCAGCCACC